ACACUGGGCUCUAUAAUAUAAUCUCCUUUUGGGUGUUAUAGUUUUUGGUAAACUGUUGAAGAGUCAUAGGUUGAGUAAAUUUAAAUUUUUUUGUUUCUUUUGUUUGUCUUUUUCAGAACAGGCAAUUGAUGAGGAGAGUUUUUUGCUUUUAGAUGAGGGGACCAUUAACUGCCUAAUUCCAAAGAUCGGUCUUAGGCUGAAGUUCCUGAAAUACUACAAAGAAUUUACCAAGCUCGGACACAAAAAAGGGUCUAGCAUCUGCCUUGGUACAAGCAUUCCCCUGUCUGCACGAUAAAACUGCUGGUGGUUAUGUGAGUAGUAAGAUUUGUUGCUAUGUAAAUACUACAUGUUUCUGUGUAUGUGUGUCAGAGAGAGCAUGGGUACAGAAUUGUUUAAACUGCUGGAAUGUUUAAAAACGUAAGUGACAAUUUUGUCUACUGCCCGAAAUGUGUGCUAAAGUCUUGUACUGCAGUGUGCAGCUCGCUUGUAGUGCAAACGUAAUGUAGAUAUGGAUGUGAUUGUGAAGCCAUCUGGACAUUUUGAGGGAGUGAGAGAGAGAAGCAGCAUUACCACUGAAUCAGUCACACUGUGAUAUUAAAUCCCACAGGAAGUUUUAAAAUUACCGAACUGCUCUGAUAAUCUGUUUCAAUUCAACCUACAUGCUACAGUGCAUACAUUUUUGCUGCGAUAUCCUGCUUUAUAAUUUCAAAACCUGCGGAAAUGUUUAGAAUUAUUCACAAUAUCCACAAUCCCGCGCUGAAAUUCAGGCCCUGUGUUCAUGUGUAUUGUAUGUUCAUACAUGUCUUUCCAGGAAACAUGGUAUGCCCAAUGCCGAAAUAAUAGACCAGCCACUGGGUUCAUUGAAGAGAGACUGAGGAAUAUACGAAAGCGACUGAGGCGCUUGAGACGACCACAAGGAGAGAAAGAAGAUGCACCAUGCAGGACAGUCAUGCCAGUAGAAUCAACGAUAUCUGAAGAGAGAGCUGAGGAAAUUAAACAAUGGCUGAGAAACAACACUCAGCCCAUCAGCCAAGUGGAACAGUACAUGCGAGAAACUGCCUUGUACAGGGCGCAGUGGAUGAGGGCAAACAACUCAAAAAAUAUGUUUGAGGUCCUCCAUGAGUUUCCUCGGCUAACUACCCCAGGCAUGGUAUGUUAA
ensembl:lncRNA